rnacentral:sRNA from 1 species
AGCCUCUGCCUGGGCUCUCCUGAGCCUGGACCCCAGGGUCCUGAGAGCUGCCCCAAGGAUGGGCACCAGGGGAGCAGUCAUGCCCCCUCCUAUGUGGGGGCUGCUGGGCUGCUGUUUUGUCUGUGGCUGGGCUCUGGGGGGUCCGCGGCCCAUCCGCUCUCUGCCCUCUCUGUCUUCCCAAGUCAAGCCAGGAUCUGUGCCCAUGCGGGUGCCCCCAGAGGGGGCCGAGGCUGCCCUCGCUUAUCUCUACUCUGGAGAUGCCCAGCAGCUAUCGCAGGUGAAUUGCAGUGAGCGCUAUGAAGCACGUGGGGCAGGAGCCAUGCCAGGGCUCCCCCCAAGCCUACAGGGAGCAGCGGGCACCCUUGCCCAGGCCGCCAAUUUUCUCAACAUGCUGCUGCAAGCCAACGACAUCCGUGAGUCCAGUGUGGAGGAGGAUGUGGAAUGGUACCAGGCACUGGUCCGCAGCGUGGCCGAGGGAGACCCAAGAGUGUACAGGGUUUUGCUGACCUUUAACCCUCCACCAGGGGCCAGCCACCUACAGCUGGCCCUGCAGGCCACCCGGAUUGGGGAGGAAACCAUCCUUCAGGACUUGUCUGGGAACUGGGUGCAGGAGGAGAACCCACCUGGGGACCUGGACACCCCUGCCCUGAAGAAGCGGGUGCUGACCAAUGACCUAGGGAGCCUUGGCAGCCCCAAGUGGCCGCAGGCAGAUGGAUAUGUGGGGGACAUGCAGCAGGUGAGGCUGUCUCCUCCUUUCCUGGAAUGCCAGGAGGGACGGCUCCGACCUGGAUGGCUGAUCACACUCUCUGCCACCUUCUAUGGACUCAAGCCAGACCUCAGCCCAGAAGUCAGGGGGCAGGUGCAGAUGGACGUAGAUCUCCAGAGUGUGGACGUCAAUCAGUGUGCAAGUGGCCCAGGCUGGUACUCUAACACACACCUGUGUGAUCUCAACAGCACCCAGGUAAGGAUGAGGAGGAUGGGGGGCGCUACUAGAGUCCUGCCUCCCUCCCUUUUUCCCAUCACUGCCACCACGCAGCUCCCAG